rnacentral:rRNA from 1 species
UACGUAGGUGGCAAGCGUUGUCCGGAAUUACUGGGUGUAAAGGGCGUGCAGGCGGGGAUGUAAGUCAGAUGUGAAAGUCCACGGCUUAACUGUGGGAAUGCAUCUGAGACUAUGUUUCUUGAGUGCUGGAGAGGGAAGCGGAAUUCCAAGUGUAGCGGUGAAAUGCGUAGAUAUUUGGAGGAACACCAGUGGCGAAGGCGGCUUUCUGGACAGUAACUGACGCUGAGGCGCGAAAGCGUGGGGAG